rnacentral:rRNA from 1 species
GACGAACGCUGGCGGCGUGCCUAAUACAUGCAAGUCGAACGCAGUGGGGACGGGUGAGGAACACGUGGGUAACCUCCCAUCAGAGGGGAUAAAACUUGGAAACAGGGGCUAAACCGAAACUGAUGGAUGGACCCGCGGUGCAGUAGAUAGUUGGUGAGGUAAAGGCUCACCAGGGCCAUGAUGCAUAGCCGCCCUGAGAGGGUGAUCGGCCACACUGGUACGGAGACACUGCCCAGACUCCUACGGGAGGCAGCAGUAGGGAAUCUUCGGCAAUGGACGAAAGUCUGACCGAGCAACGCCGCGUGAGUGAAGAAGGUUUUCGGAUCGUAAAACUCUGUUGUUAGAGCAGCGGUAUCUAACCAGAAAGCCACGGCUAACUACGUGCCAGCCGCCGCGGUAAUAC